UUUUCACUUAAUAACGAGUUAUAGGCCCAGACUUUACCAAGAUGAAGCGGCAUGAACUCUAACUUAGUGGCUUAGUCCAGAUGAAUCCAAAUUGAGGAUCAUUUUCAUGGAUUUGAUGCCACAUAAACUCUGAUCAACGUCACUGAUUAAAAUUUAAAAAUUUUUACAAGACUUGGACCAAAAUAAUCAUAAAAUAGGGAAGAAAACCUAUAGUUGGGAUUUUGCUCGG
rnacentral:misc_RNA from 1 species